rnacentral:lncRNA from 1 species
GACUUCUCUCCUUUUCUUUGGAUCCCUAAAUUUUUUUUAAUUUUUUUAAAUUUUUUUUUACUAUUUUUCAACUUUUUCUCUUAUUCUCAGAUGCCCCUUAUUUAUAGGUAAAUUUUUACUUUUUUCUAAUAGAAAAUGGUGUCCUAAAAUCUCUCAAAAUAUGUCCAACCUAUGUACUAUAUUUUUGACCAUUGGGUCAGCCUUCAACGCACGAGAUCUCACGUCAUCAAGCCU